ensembl:snoRNA
AUCCUUUUGUAGUUCAUGAGCGUGAUGAUUGGGUGUUCACACCGUUGUGUGACAUGUGCGUCCCUCUAAACCUUGUUACGAUCUCGGCACAUUACCCGUCUGACG